UAGCUUAGUUGGUAGUGCGUCUGCCUUGUAAGCGCUAGGCCGCGGGUUCGAAUCCCGC
rnacentral:tRNA from 1 species